rnacentral:rRNA from 1 species
UCCUACGGGAGGCAGCAGUAUGGGAUAUUGCGCAGUGGGAGCUUUUCUGAACCAGGCAAGCCGCGUGCAGGAAGAAGGCGCUAGAGAGGAAAAGUCUCUUGUGUCCGGGAAGAAUAACCUUUACGAAUAACGGGAACGGUACUUCCGGAAUAAUCAUCGCCUAAUUCCUUGCCAGCAGCAGCGGUAAUACGGAGGAGGCAACCAUUAUCCUCAAUCAUUGGGGGUAAAGAGUCGGCAGGAGGCUUCUCAAGUAGUCCGUCAAAGCCCGUGGCUCAACCCUGGAGAGGCAGCGGUAAAUGAGGAGGUGGAGUACGGUAGGCGAGGAGGGAAUUCCCGGUGUAGCGGUGAAAUGAGUAGAUAUCGGCAAGCACACCAGUGGUGAAAACGGUCUCCAGGUCGGCAACCGACACUGAUGGGGGAAAGAAAGGGGAGCGACAAACAUUAGAUACCCCCGUAGUCCUACCCGUAAUCGAUGGACAGUAGGUGUUGCGGGCAUCGACCCGUCCAGUGCCGUAGCCAACGCGUUAAGUUGCCGCCUGGGAGACCCCCAAGGGG